AUGCCGACGGUCGUCGAGAGGUUCAUGGACUGGGCGGUGUUGUGGAUGCCGAUGUACGGAGAGGCGAAGCUGCUGCUUGCCAUCUACCUCUGGCACCCCAGCACACGGGGUGCGGGGCACGUGUACGAUGGCUUCCUCCGUCCGCUGGUGGCGUGGCACGAGGACGACAUCGACCGGGGCCUGCUUGACCUAAGGGCUAGGGCGAGGGACGUGACGGCGUCACAACUCAAGGCGGCGACUGCCAUCGGUCAAGUGUGGCUCAUCGAGGCUGCUCGCUGUGUUUCGUCGCAGCUGCAGGCCGCGAGAUCAGGUCGGGAAGGCGCCGCGCAUUGACGAGUGAGCCAAUUUUCGGAUUGGACCAUAACAACGUGUUUCGGUCUCCGACGUCUAGAAGUAGUGGUAAAGUUUUGA
rnacentral:rRNA from 1 species